rnacentral:rRNA from 1 species
AUUGAACGCUGGCGGCAUGCUUUACACAUGCAAGUCGAACGGUAACAGGGUGCUUGCACCGCUGACGAGUGGCGAACGGGUGAGUAAUGCGUCGGAACGUGCCGAGUAGUGGGGGAUAACGCAGCGCAGGUUGUGCUAAUACCGCAUACGUACUGAGGUAGAAAGUGGGGGACCUUCGGGCCUCACGCUAUUCGAGCGGCCGACGUCUGAUUAGCUAGUAGGUGAGGUAAAGGCUCACCUAGGCGACGAUCAGUAGCGGGUCUGAGAGGAUGAUCCGCAACACGGGGAAUGAGACACGGCCCAGAAGCCUACGGGAGGCAGGAGUGGGGAAUUGUGGACAAGGGGCGAAAGCCGGAUCCAGCCAUGCCGAGUGUCUGAAGAAGGCCGUCGGGUUGUAAAGGACUUUUGUCAGGGAGGAAAUCCCUAGUGCUAAUAACACUGGGGGAUGACAGUACCUGAAGAAUAAGCACCGGCUAACUACGUGCCAGCCGCCGCCGUAA